rnacentral:misc_RNA from 1 species
UACGUAGGGCGCAAGCGUUGUCCGGAAUUAUUGGGCGUAAAGAGCUCGUAGGCGGUUUGUCGCGUCUGCUGUGAAAGCCCGGGGCUCAACCCCGGGUCUGCAGGCGAUACGGGCAGACUUGAGUACUACAGGGGAGACUGGAAUUCCUGGUGUAGCGGUGAAAUGCGCAGAUAUCAGGAGGAACACCGAUGGCGAAGGCAGGUCUCUGGGCUGUUACUGACGCUGAGAAGCGAAAGCAUGGGGAGCGAACAGG